GCCUUCAUGGUGCAAUGGUCAGCACGCUCGAAGUGCAACCGAGAGGUCCGUGGUUCAAUUCCCGGCGAAGGCC
rnacentral:tRNA from 1 species